GAUGGAGAACGCAGCGAAAUGCGAUAAGUAAUGUGAAUUGCAGAAUUCAGUGAAUCAUCGAAUCUUUGAACGCACCUUGCGCCCUUUGGACAUUCCGAAGGGCAUGCCUGUUUGAGUAUCAUGAACACCUCAACUCUCACGGCUUGUCCGUGAUGAGCUUGGACUUUGGGGGUCUUGCCGGCCUGUGGUCGGCUCCUCUCAAAUGGAUCAGCUUGCCAGUGUUUGGUGGCAUCACAGGUGUGAUAACUAUCUGCGCUUGUGGUUUUCCAUCAGAUAACCUUCAGUGAUAUGGAGGUUCGCUGGAGCUCACAAAUGUCUCUCCUUAGUGAGGACAGCUCUUUGAACGUUUGAUCUCAAAUCAGGUAGGACUACCCGCUGAACUUAAGCAUAUCAAUAAGCGGAGGA
rnacentral:misc_RNA from 1 species